AGGCAGAACAGUUGUCUCCGGCUGGCCUGCUCUGACCCAGUCUCUCGCCCCACAUAAGCCUCUCAGCGAGUAACAAGAAAGGGUCAGGCACCUCAUGCCUCUUCCCUGGAUGAGAGUCAGGGCACCAGUGUGAUGGCGCCUCUCCCCACCGUCCGUUGCUGGGAGAGCCGGCUCGCGUGUGCACGUUGUGUCCUCCAGUCCCUAAACCUACGUGUACUUGGAAAGCAAAGUUUCUUGCGGGAUGGAACGCAAAUGAACUCUCAGCUCUUUCUUCAGGAGUUGCAGUCACCAGCUUCUGCCUAAAAGCCAGCUCUCCACACUCCACAGGCGCCCACAUAAACUCGAGAUCCUAGCGGUCUUGCCCUCCCCCGUCCCUGCCCUUCCCCACUGGGAGCCUGGUCCCCCGCGGUGCAUGCUGGGUAGGCCGGCAGCGGCGGAAGUGAAAGGCUCCUCAGGCAGUCAAGAAACUGGCCCAGUCAUCUGGUCCUCAAAUAGGGAGACAGAAGUCACUGCUAUCAUUGUGAGGGGUCCAAGACAAAUGAGACCCCAAACCUGCCAUGCCAAGGAAUCCUGCAUCUUACAGAGAUAAGAUGGUGAGGCCCUGACACAGCAGCUUUCACUGAGCAAGUGGUGAGGCCCUAGAAGACUCCUGUCUUUCCCAUAAAAGGUCACCUCACCGUCAAGAGAUGGCUGUUGGAGCUCUAUCCAUCACUUCUGCCUUGCAGACAACAGGAAGAAGGAAAGCAGGGAGCAUAGGAGUGAUGGAAGAAGAAACCAACUAUAUGUUCCUGUGAGGUCUCCCCAGUGAACUCAGCAGCAAUUCCAUGUAUGGAAGGAAGAUAGAUAAAGGUAACUGGAUUUGGCAUAAGUAAUUGCAUUUCACUUUCUCCUCUGAGUCCCUCUCUAUCUGUUAGAUCCAAGUGGAAUAUAAACUCUUUGAAUUCAUUAGAAACUCCACAUGGUGGCCAUCUGUUGCAGAUACAGCAACCAGCUUGCUCAACAUCACUCCAAUCCCCUUGUAGCUUGCUUUGCAUCAGUG
ensembl:lncRNA